UGCCAUUUCACAGGUUGCUUUUGGCUUGAAUUAUUAAAAUAUUUGCGAAACUUCAUACCAUAGAAGCGAUUUUAAGUUGAUUGUGUGCAGAAAUAUCUACAGUAGAUCUGCACUUGAUUUGUUGAGAAUAUUUAGUUUUAAAGGAGAUAAAGUGGGUUGGAUUGCUCAGACCCACUCAUUGGCGGACACUAUUUCCAGAUCAUUUGAUUUCUCAAUAAUGCCCAUCGACGAAGUUCAUAAAAAUAUCAAACUUUUAAAGAAGACAUGAGAAAAUAACAGUCAACAGAAACCGGUUAAUUUAGUAUUACUGAGUAUAAGAAUUAAUUAUUUUCUGAUGGUGUUGAUCUUUUACAGCGUAACAAUAAUGAAUGGACAAAUAUACUUCUAAACAAUUAGAAUUAUAAAAUCUUACACCUCCUAAAAGAGAUUGAAUGUGCAACAAAGAGGACAAAACAAAAGCAUGUUUUCAGUUGCAAAAGUAAUUUAUUUAUGGUGGAUUUUUUCCCAAUCUGGAUUCCUAUUUAGUCGGAAAACAAUCAGAAUGUUGAUUCUAAUUGGCCUAAAAUACAAAUAUCAGGAAAAUGUAUAAAUAGGUCAAAUAAUUUAAAGAAAAUUAGCUUUAGAUGUGCAUCUCCUCACGACCUCACGCUGCAAUAAUACUAAAUCGGCUUAAUUUUAAUCGAACAAAAAUAUGUCGACAGCGAAAUUGCAUAUUUUGUAUUAAAGUUGAGUUACUAAACAUUGGUUUGAAUGAAAAACAAAAAUCCAAUAUUCUUGAAGGCUUCGUGUCUCUCCAGAGCAUGUUGUGAAAUGUCGUUUUUUAAUAGAUUUUAAAUUCUGCGACGAUUUAGCCAGUAUUGCAUUACGUAAUUCAAAUAGCAAUCUGAAAUUGAUAUGCAAGCGCAUAUUACAUGUGUUAAAGUACUGCACAAAUAAAGUUGAAGUGGUUUUCUUUAUUCAUAAUGAAGGUGUUACGAAAUUUCCAUUUCAUAGUAUGCUAGGCUUAGUUUAUUUCCUUAGCGUUCUCAUUUUGUUGUUGUCAAGGUGUCUUGCCUAAAUGAGUUGAUAUUAAGCCCAGGAUUGCAUACUAAUAGAGUUUGCUCUAUGUUACAUAUAUCACAUAAUAUUUAAAUAUACCAUUAGUAACAGAA